UUUUUUUGUUUUCUUUCUCUUAUUAUUAUUAUGUAAUUAAUUAAUUUUUUUUUAUUUUUUUAUUUUUAAAAUGGAAUUGGACAAAGGGUUAUCACAUUCAUGGUUUUCUGAAGAAUAUGAGGCUCUGAUUCUCUCUUGAUUUGAGAAGAGGAAAGGGGAUUAAUGGCUAUGGUUUAGUUAGAGGAUUUGAUGAGAUUUGUGAUCACUAUGAACAACGGUAGAUAGCUUGCCACGUCAUCAUUUUGGAGACGAUCGAGAAGGUUGAAAAAGUAGAUCAAGUAGAAUUGUUUUACAAAAGUCACUUCUCAGAGAAGAAUGGGUGGAUAAGCGAAGCCACCAAAAAAGCACAUUUGGCAAUGCAAGAGGAGAUUAGAAAGUCAUCACAAGAUAAGGUCGAACCAACAACGAAGGAAAUUAUUUGUGAAUAGGUUUUGGGAAAACGAUCAAGCCACACUAAAGUUCUUGGAUGAAACCCAAAACCCGAUUAGCUAUAUCUUCCUCAUAAAUUGAGAAAGAUAUUGGGAAUAAGUAUGAAAAGUUUGAGGCAGAGGUGAUAAGCUUAAAGGAGGAAAAUGCCAUGUUGAAGUCAAUAGUUUCGGGUUUUCAAGAUCAAUUGACUGAAAUCACAAGAUAGGUAGGUGCGCAACAAAAGCAAGGAGAUGAACCUUCGAACAACUAGAUACGUUAUGACAAUUUUCAGUUCUUGUUUAGUGGAUUUAGAAACUUAAUUUGGUUGUUGUGUGAUAUAUUGCAGUUAUGGUAGCCACUUCAAAUAUGAGUGUUGUAGUGGAUUUAGGAACUUCAUUUGUUUGUUUUGUGACUAUCCUGCAGUUAUGGCAGACACUUUAAAUAUGUGUAUUUUAGUGUACUUGUUGUCACUUUGUAAUUUAAAUGACGUUUAGGUGGAAUUAGGACACAUUCGUAGCUUGAGAG